CAUGAAGCUGGAAUCGCUAGUAAUCGCGAAUCAGAAUGUCGCGGUGAAUACGUUCCCGGGUCUUGUACACACCGCCCGUCACACCAUGGGAGUCGGAUAUGCCCGAAGUCAGUGACCCAACCAUAUGGAGGGAGCUGCCGAAGGUGGAGCCGAUAACUGGGGUGAAGUCGUAACAAGGUAUC
rnacentral:rRNA from 1 species